AGACCGUGAUGAAAACAUAAUCUCAUCAUGUCCUUAUAUCACCCCCAAGCUUCAAAAAGUGACUCUCCAUCUGUCUGUCCGAACGUAGUUAUGUGAUUUCUUAGCAC